CAAGUAUAUAAGAUCAGACAACGGGAGAAUUAACAAGAGACACACUCGCCGCGCAAGAUGAAACUUGUUUUCCUGUUUAUAACCAUGGUGAUGGCUGCAGUGACUGUCACGUGCAGUCCUCUUCCUGGCUACGGAAAUUACAAUUACGGCUACAGUCAUCCCCGGUACAAUUAUGGCGUCAUUACAGCAUAUGUUCCUACCAUCGAACGUGUGAGUUACAUUCACGGACCGCGUUACUAUGGGCCAUCUAUCCACGACGGCAUUUACGGAGCAUACGGCUACGGAAGAGGCCAUUCAUACUAUAACCAUUAACAGAAUGCUGGGAGAGUGAAGUGUCCAGAAACUGUCUCGCGAUGAAACACAAGCAAGUUUUCAAAACCAUCUUGGCAGUAGCUGGCGCUGAAACAUUUCCUUUCUUUUUACUUAUUAUUUACUAGGUGUUCGUGUGUCUUUACAUUUGUUCACUUCCUUUUCUCUCAACUCAUUUAAAUAAAAAUUUAUAAUUGA